rnacentral:rRNA from 1 species
GACGAACGCUGGCGGCGUGCUUAACACAUGCAAGUCGAACGGAAAGACCCUGCUUUUGUGGGGUGCUCGAGUGGCGAACGGGUGAGUAACACGUGAGUAACCUGCCCUUGUCUUUCGGAUAACUUCAGGAAACUGGGGCUAAUACCGGAUAGGAUCUCCUGCUGCAUGGUGGUGGUUGGAAAGUUUCGGCUGUUGUGGAUGGACUCGCGGCUUAUCCGCUUGUUGGUGGGGUAGUGGCUUACCAAGUGUUUGACGGGUAGCCGGCCUGAGAGGGUGACCGGCGACAUGAGGACUGAGAGACGGAGCAGACGGGUAUGGGAGGCAGCAGGGGGGAACAUGGCACAAUGGGCGGAAGCCUGAGGCAGAAACGCUGGGUGCGGGAUGACGGCCUUCGGGUUGAAAACCGCUGUGGCAUGAGACGAAGCGGGAGUGACGGUAAUGGGUAAAGAAGCACCGGCUAACUACGUG